rnacentral:rRNA from 1 species
GAUGAACGCUGGCGGCGUGCCUAAUACAUGCAAGUCGAGCGAACAGAGGAGGAGCUUGCUCCCCUGACGUUAGUGGCGGACGGGUGAGUAACACGUGGAUAACCUACCUAUAAGACUGGGAUAACCUCGGGAAACGGGAGCUAAUACCGGAUAAUAUAUGGAACGGCAUGGUUCAAGAGUGGAAGACGGUUCGGCUGGCGCUGAGAGAGCGACCCGCGCGGCAUUAGCUAGUGGGUAGGGUAACGAAUUACAAAGGCAAUAAUCCGUAGGCGACCUGAGAGAGUGGUCGCCCGCACUGGAACUUGACCACGCUCCCGACUCCUACGAGAGGCACCAGUAGCCUAUCUUCCGCAGUAGGCGAAAGUCUUACGGAGCAGCGGCGCGUCAGUUGUAGCGGUCUUCGGUUCGUAAAACUCUGUUAUUAGUGAAAAACAUAUGUUUGCGUAACUGUACACAACUUGACGGUACCUAAACAGAAAGCACCGGCUAACUACGUG